CAAAUUUAAUCAACAAUAUUCCAACACUAAAAACAACACAUCUCCAAAUCCAAAAAUUAUAGAGGGCCGAGCCCAUUACAUUUUAACAAUCCACAAACUAAUGACCCACGGGCUACGGCCCACAAAAUCACUCUCGACUCGCACGACGUCAGCAGCACCUUACGCAUGCGAAACCUAACCCUAACCGUAACCAGGCGGUUGGGUCAUUUCAGCGGCCUGUUCUCUCUCUCUCUAUAUAUAUUUCGAGUUUCAGUCUAUCACUAUCGGCUUGUGGUUGUAGACGAAGCGACGAUGAGUUGAGACGGCGGAGCCGCUGCCGGUGGUGGUGGUGGUGGUGCGAAGGGGAAGAAGAAGGGAGUGAUGCAGCCGAUGAAGAUAAGAUCAUGGACGUCGCUUCACUGGAAAAGUUCCUCCAGGAACCGCUCAAGGUCGUCUGCAAGGCCGGAGCUCUUCGCGACUCCGUCACCGUCUCUCGUGAAAAGUGCAAGAUCACCGUCACCUCCCCCUUCUCUAAGCGAUCUAAGUUUGGUGCAACACUUCACACCUCUAGUCCCUCUCUACUGUCACCGUGGCACACCGAGUCGGACUGUGAAGGCUUCGUUCUCAAGGUCCUUCCGCUCUAGCUCCGCUCUCCAAUCAAGCUCUUGUGAUGCACUGAUAAUCACAGGGAACUCAUCGAAGUUGUCUUCGACAUUGCUCUCUCCCACAAACUCCGCCACCCAUACUCAGAUCUCUUGUAGCGACCCCGAUUUGUAAAUAACUACUAAUUCGUAAUUAAGAAUGCUAACAAGUGUUUAGAAUAGAAUUAUGUGUUAUUAUUAAUUGUAAUAUGUGCUUUGUAGUAAUUUGUGCAUAUCUAUCUGAUUUGAAAAUUAUUUGUCAUGAUUUCUACUUUGAAUCUGAAAUUGUUAGCCAAAAUGCUUUCAAAAACCGAAUUUGAGUUCAGGGAUUGACUAACUAGAAUAUUUGGAACCAUAUGAGAAGUUUUGUUAAAAAAUUGAUUCAGUUUAGUAAAAUCGCAUGUGAUUAAAUUGAGCCUUAAUUGGAACUAUUGUGGAUUAAUUGAGUUAUGUGCUAACCUUGAUUAAUUAAGGUUACUUAUGUUUAAUUAAGACGAUACAUGAUUUAUGCCUAAUCUACUUCUAUUCAUGAUUUAAGAUGUGAUUAAGCGUAUUAUGUGCUGAGGCAUUUUGUAAUGUUGGGCGUAGAGGAUUAAAAUCCUUUAGUGGGUGUGUGCUGAGAAAUUUGUGUGAGUGUAUUAAAAAAUUUGAGUUGGGCAUUUUGUGUUGACUGUAGGGGAUUAAAACCCUUGUGUGUGUGUGUGUGUGUUAGAGUUUUGCAUGUGUGUGCACGUGUAUUAUGCUCAAGAAGUGAGUGUGUGUUGUGUAUAUUUAGCUGAGUGAGGGAGUGUUUGUAUCAUUCCUUUGCUUAUUUGGUUCUUUGUGUUGAGAGAGUUCGAGCUUAAGAGAAAGAGAGAGAGAGAGUUUGGCUUUAGUGAAAGAGGUCAAAAGUUUGAAGAA